rnacentral:rRNA from 1 species
UGGGGAAUAUUGCACAAUGGGCGCAAGCCUGAUGCAGCCAUGCCGCGUGUGUGAAGAAGGCCUUCGGGUUGUAAAGCACUUUCAGCGAGGAGGAAGGUGGUGAGCUUAAUACGCUCAUCAAUUGACGUUACUCGCAGAAGAAGCACCGGCUAACUCCGUGCCAGCAGCCGCGGUAAUACGGAGGGUGCAAGCGUUAAUCGGAAUUACUGGGCGUAAAGCGCACGCAGGCGGUUUGUUAAGUCAGNUGUGAAAUCCCCGGGCUCAACCUGGGAACUGCAUUUGAAACUGGCAAGCUAGAGUCUCGUAGAGGGGGGUAGAAUUCCAGGUGUAGCGGUGAAAUGCGUAGAGAUCUGGAGGAAUACCGGUGGCGAAGGCGGCCCCCUGGACGAAGACUGACGCUCAGGUGCGAAAGCGUGGGGCAGCAAACAGGAUUAGAUACCCUGGUAGUCCAGCGCUGUAAACGAUGUCGAUUUUGGAGGUUGUGCCCUUGAGGCGUGGCUUCCGGAGCUAACGCGUUAAA